UCCAGGGAGUGGGAUUGCUUUGUGCAGGCAGUGCAGGGAUCGGCGGUGACCGAGCCAAGUUCCGUGGGCACCACUGGUGGCGACUUCAAAGGACAGAGGGGACGUCUUGCUUACCCCUCCUCCAACAGGAACGGUGGGCUCAGAGCAGCCAGUCACAGCUUUCUUCCCUCCUCUGGGGCCUUUGGGGGUGCAAGCUGGACAUUGUACAUCGCCCCCCUGAACCCUCGCCCACCCCAUCAGGCGGCCACAGUUCUCUCUAGUUGACGGUUUCUUCCAAGUACGGGCUCCCUGAGACAGAGGCCGAGCGAGCAGACAGCCACAGACCUGAGAGCUCAACUGAAGAACGAGAGUUGCUUGUGAGCACACAUAGGGAAAAGCCGGUAAAAACAAAUAAAAGCCAGGUGGAUGCUGCCUAAGGAGACUUCACUGGCCCAUUUUUGCAGGAGGAGAGGUGUGGAAAGAGACGCAGAAUGAGGGGUGAGGGGCCCCAACAAAGGUACGCGGGGCAGAAAGGAGGGGGCUUGGGGGAAGGGAGCAGAGGAAGGGAAGUGGGACAAACCUUAAGGAGAAGGCCUCUCAUUUGUCCAUUCCUUCACAGGAGAGACCCCAAGUCUUGAAUCACCCCGUUUUCCAGAUGGGGGGACUGAGGCCUGAGAAAAGGGACUCCCUCUAGAGCAGCGGCCGCCAACCUUUCGGACCUCAAGGGCCACCCGUGGUCCUCGGACCACCAGGUGGUGACCGCUGCUCUAGAGCACAUUGAACAUCGCGGUCUCCUAACUCCAAACACAGGCACCCUGUCCUGCCACGCCUGCUGUGCCCUGCCCUGUCCUCCCCGACCCCCAAUGUGCAGGCCUCUCCCCCGAGGAUUCCCGAGGAGGGCAGGAAGGCCUCUCAGAGCCCUAAUUUAUGAUUUUCUGGCAGCU